rnacentral:lncRNA from 1 species
AGGUUCGUCGUGGAGUCUAAAAUGGGUAUAGAAAAGAAGGACAGAGCAAAAAAUACAGUGAGUGGUGUAGUAACAAAGGAAGCAAGAGAUAAGAAAAAAAUAGAGAAAAAUGAAAGAAGUGAUAAAAAAAUAAAAGUAAGGGUUUCGAAAGACAAUGCUACCCUUUCAUGUGUAAUACUAAUAUAGCUAGCUAGUUGGCCAACACAUGGAUGGAACCACCACUACAUCCCAAUUCUGAAAGCUUUACACGCUUUUAACACUCUCUAGAAAAGUGGUGUUCUUUUCUUUCUCUGAGGACUCCUAGCUUUUCCUUUUUCCCAUUCUCUUCUUAAAUCCAUGGACACAGCUCAGUGGGCACAGGUACACACAGAACUACUUUUUUCUGUUUUCUUUCCAUAUAAUCAUGAAAAUCUCUGCUGGGGUUGUGAUUUUCAACCAUAAUUUAGAUUAUUAAGUUUUGGGUUUGGGAAAUUAUUUUGAUUAUAUUGUUAGUUCUGAGGGGGGAAGUUAAGUUUCACUUUAUCCCCAACUUAUGAUUAUAUUGAUUAUAUUGUUUGUGAGGGAACACUUCAGGAAGGACAGCAAUGCCAAAGAGCUACUGAAGAGAGUGAAGGUGAGCCUUGUUUUAAAUUUAAAAUACUUCAUACAAUCAUUUGGGUGUUAUACAUGCACAGACUAAACUUGAUUUUGCUUUGCAGGCUUACAGAGUCACCAAGUAAUUUGCUGAUUAAAAGACUUCAGGCUAAUUCUAUCUUUUGCCAAGCAGCCAUAUAGUUUUCGUGUUAUGGAGUGAUGCACUUUUGNACGUGUAACAUGUGGCAGAGUCGUUCUCUUUAGAAUGAGUAACGUUAUUUUUGUUCGUGUAUUUCAUUUACUUGAAAUAUAGAUAUAAUGUGUUAAUUUAAUAUUUGUGCUUUCUUAUGCAAGGCAUGUCGUAAGUUUUAAUUAAUGAUGGAAGAACNAACACGGCAUAAACUAUGAAAGAAAGAAGUCACAUGAUGCGAUAGAGAAACAAACAAGGAGAUGAAAAAUGAAGAAAAAGAGGGAGGAUCGUAUAGAGUGACGCCUGGUGAUUGACA